rnacentral:rRNA from 1 species
CAAUAGCGUAUAUUAAAGUUGUUGCAGUUAAAAAGCUCGUAGUUGGAUUUGUGGCGUACGGUGUGUUCCGGGCACUUGUUGUCUGAGUAACCUGCUGUUGCCAUCCUUGGGUGGAACCUGUGUGGCAUUAGGUUGUCGUGCAGGGGAUGCCCAUCAUUUACUGUGAAAAAAUUAGAGUGUUCAAAGCAGGCUUAUGCCGUUGAAUAUAUUAGCAUGGAAUAAUGAGAUAGGACUUUUUUGCUAUUUUGUUGGUUUGCGCAAAGAGGUAGUGAUUAAUAGGGACAGUUGGGGGUAUUCGUAUUCCAUAGUCAGAGGUGAAAUUCUUGGAUUUUUGGAAGACGAACUACUGCGAAAGCAUUUACCAAGGAUGUUUUCAUUAA